rnacentral:lncRNA from 1 species
GGCCAAGCUGGAGGGCAGCCAGGCGGCAGCAGAAGCCUCUCCUCCUCCUGGUCCCCAUGGUGGGGGCUGGUUGCCACCCUCCCCCUUCCCCUGGGGAUGCUGCUGGUAGUCACUAUGGGGAUAAAGCGAUUAUGUUUCCAGACCAUAGGGAGCCAACUCCACCUGCAGGCCUGAGGGCCCUAGCCCCACUGCCGCCUGGGCAUGUCAGGGAGAGGGAUCACAGCUUUGCUUCCCACUGAGUGUCCUGGCCCCAGACAGCCCAUGCCUAAUGUGGGGCCACCUCCCUUUCCUUCUAACAUGAGCUGCCUCUCCUGACCUCAGAUGGCCUUGAUGCCUGACUGCUGUGUCCUGCUGGAGGAAUGAGGGCUGUAGGAGCCUCAAGAACAAAGGCCAUCAGAGAGGCCGUUUGCUGGCAUGGAGCCCCCCAGGACUCAUCAACCAUGGUUGAGGUUGACUGAAAACAGAGCAAGAGAGGCCCCCGCCUGUCUCAGAUGAGACUGGUGUUUUUUGCAAAUGGAUUACUUAAAGGUGUCUUGAAGGGGUAUGAUACUGCGAUAUGCACCUUUCACUGCCUGGAAUCUUCCUGAGUUUUGUCUUGGUCGAGCUGCCUUCCAUGUACAGGGUGGAGGCUGAAACCCAUGCAGACAUCCCCAGUCACUCAUGAAGGCCUGCUGUUCAGGGUUCCCUGCUUUAUUCCCUGUGCCAUGCCCUGCAUGAUGCCAGUACCGUGGGGCCCAUGGGUUACCAAUCUGCAAACACGAGAGACACGGCUCAACAAAACCUCUCCACAACCAUGGAAAGCACGGGGCUGCUGAGCGCGACCCAGAGAACCGCAGAGUGUGUGUCUCAAGCUCUCUGGCCACAUGAACCUGUUGGGUGGGUUUUUGGGUCCCACUGGCUGCCCUUUUUACAUGGCUAUUUUUCUGGGCCUUUCUCUUUAAAAUGUUGACCAACAUGAAUUUUAAAUUGUUGAGUUUAGGUGCAUAAAAUGUAUAUAUAAUGGAAUUUGUCAGCUUUUCAAGAUGCAGCAUAGAGUCUCUGAUCCUUUGAUGGCGUCCCCACUUCCCUGUGGACAUAGGGCUUGCCCUCUUGCUUAUUUUAGCAGCUCAAGUCCUUUGCCCUCAAUUUUUUUGCUUGUCUUAUCCAGCAGAGUCUCAUGCACGGUUACUUUUAGUUAUCAACACACUUCCCUGCUCAUUUGUUGGUUCCUUUAACUGACCUUCAAGAGAUCCUAGAAUCAAGAUGGUGCCGUGAUCAGGGAGCAACCAAAUAACCUUUGCAAAUCUAUCUCUAAAUACAUACACACACGCCUGCACACACACAAAUGCAUUCAUAUGUGCGUGUGUAUGUACACACAGAUUGAGUAUCCCUUAUCUGAAGUGCUUGGGACCAGGAGUGUUUUGGAUUUCCAAUAUUUUUGGAUUUUGGAAUAUGCACAUACAUGUAAUGAGCUAUCUUGGAGGAUGAGACCCACUUAUGUCUAAACGCAAAACUCACUUAUGUUUCAAACAUACCUUAAAACACAGCCUGAAGGUAAUUUUAUAUAAUAAUUUAAAUAAUUUUGUGCAUGAAACAAAAUUUUGACCUCUAUCACAUGAGGUCAGGGGUGGAAUUUUCAGUGUCAUGUUGAUGUUUACGAAAUUUUGGAUUUUAGAGCAUUUCAGAUUUCAGAUUUUCAGAUUAUAAGUGCUCAACCUGUCUAUAUAAGUGUGUUCAUUAAUUUGCUUUCAG